UACAGAGGGUGCGAGCGUUAAUCGGAAUUACUGGGCGUAAAGCGUGCGUAGACGGUUAUUUAAGUCGGAUGUGAAAGCCCCGGGCUCAACCUGGGAAUUGCAUUCGAGACUGAAUAGCUAGGGUACGGUAGAGGGAAGUGGAAUUUCCGGUGUAGCGGUGAAAUGGCGUAGAUAUCUGGAGGAACACCGGGUGGCGAAGGCGACGCCUGG
rnacentral:rRNA from 1 species